rnacentral:rRNA from 1 species
GACGAACGCUGGCGGCGUGCUUAACACAUGCAAGUCGAACGCUGAAGCUCAGCUUUUGUUGGGUGGAUGAGUGGCGAACGGGUGAGUAACACGUGAGUAACCUGCCCCCUUCUUUGGGAUAACGCCCGGAAACGGGUGCUAAUACUGGAUAUUCACUGGUCUUCGCAUGGGGGUUGGUGGAAAGGGUUUUUCUGGUGGGGGAUGGGCUCGCGGCCUAUCAGCUUGUUGGUGGGGUGAUGGCCUACCAAGGCUUUGACGGGUAGCCGGCCUGAGAGGGUGACCGGUAACAUGGGGGGUGAGAUACGGCCCAGACUACUACGGGGGGCGGCAGUGGGGAAUAUUGCACAAUGGGCGCAAGACUGAUGCAGCGACGGCGCGUGAGGGAUGGAGGCCGUCGGGUUGUGAACCUCUUUGGCUCAUGGUCAAGCCGCAACAAUGGUUGUGGUGAGGGUAGUGGGUAAAGAAGCGCCGGCUAACUACGUG